rnacentral:rRNA from 1 species
AGUGAACGCUGGCGGUAGGCCUAACACAUGCAAGUCGAACGGCAGCACAGUAAGAGCUUGCUCUUACGGGUGGCGAGUGGCGGACGGGUGAGGAAUACAUCGGAAUCUACUUUUUCGUGGGGGAUAACGUAGGGAAACUUACGCUAAUACCGCAUACGACCUACGGGUGGAAGCAGGGGAUCUUCGGACCUUGCGCGAUUGAAUGAGCCGAUGUCGGAUUAGCUAGUUGGCGGGGUAAAGGCCCACCAAGGCGACGAUCCGUAGCUGGUCUGAGAGGAUGAUCAGCCACACUGGAACUGAGACACGGUCCAGACUCCUACGGGAGGCAGCAGUGGGGAAUCUUGGACAAUGGGCGCAAGCCUGAUCCAGCCAUACCGCGUGGGUGAAGAAGGCCUUCGGGUUGUAAAGCCCUUUUGUUGGGAAAGAAAAGCAGCAGGUUAAUACCCCGCUGUUCUGACGGUACCCAAAGAAUAAGCACCGGCUAACUUCGUG